GAUGAACGCUAGCUACAGGCUUAACACAUGCAAGUCGCGGGGCAGCAUGGGGGUUGCUUGCAAUCCCCGAUGGCGACCGGCGCACGGGUGAGUAACGCGUAUCCAACCUGCCCUUCACCACGGGAUAACCCGGCGAAAGUCGGACUAAUACCGUAUGUUGUCCAUUGGCGGCAUCCGAUUUGGACGAAAGGCUUGGCGGUGAGGGAUGGGGAUGCGUCCGAUUAGCCAGACGGCGGGGUAACGGCCCACCGUGGCUACGAUCGGUAGGGGUUCUGAGAGGAAGGUCCCCCACACUGGAACUGAGACUCGGUCCAGACUCCUACGGGAGGCAGCAGUGAGGAAUAUUGGUCAAUGGGCGUAAGCCUGAACCAGCCAAGUAGCGUGCAGGAGGACGGCCCUAUGGGUUGUAAACUGCUUUUAUGCGGGGAUAAAGUGGCCCACGUGUGGGCUUUUGCAGGUACCGCAUGAAUAAGGACCGGCUAAUUCCGUG
rnacentral:rRNA from 1 species